GGUCAGCCCGAGGAUCUUCGCGGCGAGAGAGGGUUUCAGUCUGGUGCGACAGGUCUGGAGCAAGGGAUCUCGGUUUCGUUUCGCUGGAGCCCCGAAGCUACGCAUGCGCACAAGAAUCCUGUCCCUGGGACGCCAGUUAUCUCCUGGAGGCACCUGAUGUUCUUUUAAAAACCUAGGGAAAGAGCGAAGACCUUCGUCACAUGCCAAGCAGAACUUGACUCUGACGCACUGCAGAAUAUAGUGCAUUCAUUGGGAGUCUAGCCUGACUUUCUUUUGCGUUAUCUUGAAUUUGGUCAUUUCGACUCAAUAAAGUAGACGUGAAUAA